GCAAAUGCCUAUUGUGAUUUUGAGGGUGGAUAAACAAAAAAGAAAUUGAACAUUUAAAGCAAUCAUCCAUGACAUCCCAUAACUUGCGAUGCUGCCAGUGUACAUUAUUUUAACAAUCAGUUGCCAGGAAUAUAGCAAUUUGGACCUUUGCUAAAUCUUCUCUGAACAUGUGGCUCUUAACAUAUUAUCAAUAGUGCUGUUUCUGUUUGCACCAGCUAGUCUUUAAAACUGGUCUUAAACUCAAUGCCAUCUCAUUCCAAUAUCACACAGGGACUGCUGCUGUUCUUUACACAGUAGUAUGUAACUUGCUAUUUAGGACAGUCCAGGUGGCCUUACCUCCUUAAGGGUUGCUUUGAACUCCAGGGCUUGGUGCAGGACUAGUGUUAGUUUCAAAUCCUGAAGUCUGCAUGCAGUUCCUCCACUCAACAGAAACCAGGUGAAGGAGAAAUGGAAGAACCAAUGAGAAGAAAAAAAAGAAGAAAAGGAAGAAACCAAAGCUACCGAGCAAUGCUCCUGUGCCUGAAGAGACCACAGCUGUAGUUCAAGAGCCGCCUAAGUUUGAGGACAAGGAUGAAAUCUGGCAACUGCAUCUGGCAAUACUAACAAAGCACAUCGUUCUGCAAACCAGAGCAUCUUCUCCUACAGCAACAUUGCAAAGUGGCAA